rnacentral:rRNA from 1 species
CGCCUCUUGAAUAAUUAUAAGAGGUCCAGCCUGCCCAGUGACUUUGUUCAACGGCCGCGGUAUCCUAACCGUGCGAAGGUAGCGUAAUCACUUGUUCUUUAAAUGAGGACUUGUAUGAAUGGCACCACGAGGGUUAUACUGUCUCCUUUUUCUAAUCAGUGAAACUAAUCUCCCCGUGAAGAAGCGGGGAUAAGAAUAUAAGACGAGAAGACCCUAUGGAGCUUUAAACUAAUUAACAAAUACUAACUUCCUUUCAACUUCCAGAACACACACACUUACACUAGCAUUGUGAUUAUUAGUUUUAGGUUGGGGUGACCGCGGAGCAUAAACUAACCUCCGCAUUGAACGGGACCAAUCCCUGAGCAAAAAACUACAACUUUAAGCACCAAUAAAUUGACAUCAAUUGACCCAAUAUUUUGAUCAACGAACCAAGUUACCCUAGGGAUAACAGCGCAAUCCACUUCAAGAGCCCCUAUCGACAAGUGGGUUUACGACCUCGAUGUUGGAUCAGGGUAU